GUACUUUGUUUCACUCAGUAAACGUGUAACGCACAGCGUGUACAUGUGCAGCGUGCACAGAUUUAAACAGCUUUACUGAGGUCAGAUGAAUUAGAACUCUUAGGCAAUUCAUAAAUUUUCAUACAUCCACAAGCAGCACAUUUUUCUUUAUUAAAAGAAUGCCAUGAUUAUUAUUAGUAGUAGUAGUAGUAGUAGUAAACUAAAUGACAGCAACAGUAAGUGAGGGUCACGACCCCUCUCCUGAAGGUCACCUGUUUUGCGUGUUUUAUUGCUCUUUUUGCUCCGCCCAUGGCUCAUUCACUAAAUCAGGUGUCUCAGCCAAUUAAGAGCCACAAAACGUCAGACUUAACGAAUCAUCUGGUUGGAGUAGGUACACAUGGAAAACAUGCACAACAGGUGACCUCCAAGAGGGGGGUUGUGACCCCUGCUUGAACCGCCCUCAGUGCUGCGUGUUGACUGUCACUGUAUGUUUUUCAUAGAGUAGCGUCAUGCAGAUGACGUCAUGUAAUUCACGCCCUGAUGCAGCAGGUCUGGGCUGAGCCUGGACUGGAGCACGUGGUUCUGGUUCUGUGACACCAGCCUGUCUUUCUUCUUAAUAUGGACUUGUUGGAGCUGGAGAGACGCAGCGCCUGAGAUAUGAACCGGCACUGCUGCCCUGCGGCCCACGGUGCAGUGCUGCAUCUCUGGUCAUUUGGUAGUCUGAGAUGAAGCACUGUAGCUCGGGACGGAGGACACACCCACAUUCCACGAUGCCCAUGCCCCCCACGCACAGGAUGGUGAGAUUGUGAGGAACAGCAGAGCUUCCAACCACAAUUCAUCACCGUCAUCAUUCAACACCUUUUUCUGUCUUUAUUUUAUGGCAGUGCUGUAUAUUUUGUUCGUUUAAGGGUUUUUUUUUUUUUGUUUUGUUUUGUUUUGUUUAACAGGGAUUUAUACCGGUGAAUAACAUUCUUUAUCUUGUUAUAUGCAUUAUUUGAGGGAUGCUCAACUGGCAAUACAUUUAAAUUAAUGAGAAAGUGUUUUUAAAAAUAUUAGUUCAACUUAAAUCAAUGGCUAAACGAUCAAAAGUCACAAAUCACAUACAGUAAAUUUGGAAAAAUACUAAUUUUAUUACAUAUAUUUUUCUUCGUUAUAUUUAUUAGUCUGAAGCAAAAUGUCCACAGGACCUUUUAAUGGUUUUUUUACACUUUCAUUGAACGCAAUAUCUAAAGCAACCAUUAAAGUAAAUUAGUGCAAAGAUACAGUAAAGAAUCAGUAAAAAACAGUGUAAAUUGAAUUACAUAUUUAUUGAUUGAUUGACUGAUUUUUACAGUAGAAUCUUAGACAUUUGCUAAAACUGGGGAAGGAAGGAAGGAAGGAAGGAAGGAAGGAAGGAAGGAAGGAAGGAAGGAAGGAAGGAAGGAAGGAAGGAAGGAAGGAAGGAAGGAAGGAAGGUGCAGGUGAUUUUAAUGAAAAAGAAGUGAGAAUGUGUGACAAUCAGAAGUGAAUGAUUUCGUCUCCUCUCUCCUGGGGUCCAGUUUUCCCAGGAAUCCCUUGACAAAUGAGAAAAGGGGAUUCCUGGAAAUACUGUUCUUGGGGGCGGGGCUUAGCAGCCUUUCCUCUUCAGUCAUAAAGCUGCUGAUGUUUCUGCUGUGUUUCCUGCUUUCACUGGAAUGUUUUCAGAAAACAAUGUACAACAGCCUUGAAUGAACUAUUAAUCAAUAAUAAUGUUAUUUCAGUCAGCUGAAUGUUGUUGAACUGUGAUAGUCGCUAAUAAACUACAAAUCAA